rnacentral:rRNA from 1 species
GAUAAACGCUGGCGGCGCACAUAAGACAUGCAAGUCGAACGAACUUAACCAUUAGUUUACUAUUGGAGCGGUUAGUGGCGGACUGGUGAGUAACACGUAAGCAACCUGCCUAUCAGAGGGGAACAACAGUUAGAAAUGACUGCUAAUACCGCAUAAGACCACAGCACCGCAUGGUGCAGGGGUAAAACUCCGGUGGUAUGAGAUGGAUCCGCGUCUGAUUAGCUAGUUGGUAAGGUAACGGCUUACCAAGGCAACGAUCAGUAGCCGACCUGAGAGGGUGACCGGCCACAUUGGGACUGAGACACGGCCCAA